rnacentral:rRNA from 1 species
GACGAACGCUGGCGGCGUGCUUAACACAUGCAAGUCGAACGGAAAGGCCCUGCUUUUGUGGGGUGCUCGAGUGGCGAACGGGUGAGUAACACGUGAGUAACCUGCCCUUGACUUUGGGAUAACUUCAGGAAACUGGGGCUAAUACCGGAUAGGAGCUCCUGCUGCAUGGUGGGGGUUGGAAAGUUUCGGCGGUUGGGGAUGGACCCGCGGCUUAUCAGCCUGUUGGUGGGGUAGUGGCUUACCAAGGCUUUGACGGGUAGCCGGCCUGAGAGGGUGACCGGCCACAGUGGGACUGAGGUGGGGCCAAGACUGCUACGGGGGGCAGCAGUGGGGGAUAGUGCACGAUGGGCGGAAGCCUGAUGCAGCAACGCCGGGUGGGGGAUGACUGCCUUAGGGUUGUAAACCGCGUUCGCCUGUGACGAAGCGUGAGUGACGGUAAUGUAUAAAGAAGCACCGGCUAACUACGUG